AUUGAACGCUGGCGGCAGGCCUAACACAUGCAAGUCGAACGAGUGGCGGACGGGUGAGUAAUGUCUGGGAAACUGCCUGCUGGAGGGGGAUAACUACUGGAACCGGUAGCUAAUACCGCAUACCAUCGGAUGUGCCCAGCUGGGAUUAGCUAGUAGGUGUGGUAACGGCUCACCUAGGCGACGAUGCCUAGCUGGUCUGAGAGGAUGACCAGCCACACUGGAACUGAGACACGGGCCAGACUCCUACGGGAGGCAGCAGUGGGGAAUAUUGCACAAUGGACGCAAGCCUGAUGCAGCCAUGCCGCGUGUAUGAAGAAGGCCUUCGGGUUGUAAAGGUCUUUCAGCGGGGAGGCGGUACCUGCAGAAGAAGCACCGGCUAACUCCGUGCCAGCAGCCGCGGUAAUUC
rnacentral:rRNA from 1 species